CCUGCACGGCUAGACCGCAGGUCGGGAUGUGAUCCGCGAGCGCGAUACGCUCGAGAGAGGUGACAGAUGCUGUCACCGACGCGAUUGAACCAGGAA
rnacentral:ncRNA from 1 species